CAAGACGUAAGGUAAGGGUUAAAAAAACAAAAAGGCAAGCAAUAUCAAAUCUCAUAAUGAUACAUGUGAAAUCAGGAAAACAUUUCCAUAUUAGCCAUGUCACACCAAAGAAGCAAGAAAUAUAAAAUGAAGAAAAGUAUUUUUCAAUCUGCACGGAAAGUUCAUUAAUUUUCUCUCUGGAGGUGGAUAGCAUUUUUCAAAAGAUGCAUCUUUUCCAGAAGCAAAGAUAGUAUUGAAUUGAUGGAUGAUGAUUACCCCUAGAGCUGGAGGUAGUAGCGAAUCUACAGAAUAAUGAUCGUGUGUGUGUGUGUGUGUGUGUGUGUGUGUGUGUGUGUGUGUGUGUGUGUGUGUGUGUGUGUCCUCAGGUGCGUGGUGGCUAUUCCUUUGGGCUUUGAGGCAGACAGUGCAUCUAUGAUUGGGUGUGUGCUUAUUGGGAGGGAGGGCGAGGCGCGGCGUGUGCGUUGUCCUGGCAACAGUGGUCCAGGGAAAGCGGCUGCAUCACGUGCAGGCAGGCCGGCACCUGCCAAAGCUUCCGCGGUUAAGGGGUCCAGGGCGCAGAUUGCAUCCUUCAGCGCGUCGGGCCUCCCCCUUGUUGUCCAAGCUGGUGCGGCCGGCUCUGGAGGAGGUGGGGCGGUGCCCCUGCUGCAGCUACUGCCGUCGCCACCGCCGCCACCCUCUGGACUGUUCCUGCUCUGGCCCGAGAAUUCUGGACCAAAUCUGUGCGCGAGGGUGUAGAGGGAGAUGAUGACGAGGAAGGAAAGGAGCAGAAGCUGUGAUCAGUGACGCUUCAGGCCUGGGGGUCCGAAGAGGAAGAGCAUCAUCUGUGUGAGCAGUGCCGACGGCCAGUUAUUUGGGGCCAAAGUUGUAUGUUAAACACCAUUAAAGGAAAUCAGCUACUGUGUACUAUCCCAAGGUCAAGAAUAAGAAGACAACAAUCAAUUUGUCCAUGUGGCACAAAAUGAUUAUGGAUUCAGGUGUACGUUUUGUAUUGUUGCUGCUGGGGGCCAUUGCAGGUUCCCUCUGUGAGCAGUGCAGGGAUGGAAGGACCUUCUCAAACGCAGUCAUUUCCCCAAACCUGGAAUCCAUCAAAAUUCUGCGCGUGCCUCAAGCCGGUUCCAUGGCCGCCUGCACCGUCGCCUGCUGUGACUUCCCCAGCUGUGACCUGGCUUGGUGGUUUGAGCAUCGGUGCUAUGUAGUGAACUGCCAGCACCAGGGCAGCUGCGAGCCCAAGACCAUCGACCCCGUCCAGUCCUACCUCACUUUUGUGCUGCGGCCAGCCCGGAGGCCACCCCCCCUGCUAGGAUACGCACAGAGGAUGCCCAGCAGGCUUCAUCCGUCCCAGGAGGCCAGCAGGCCUAGAGACUUGCCCUUCUGGGGGAAGGGCCGCGGCUUAGAGGAGCUGCCUGAGUACGGGGACGAUUACAGGGAGACCGAGCAGGACUUCUUCCAGGCCAGCGGCAAGCAGGUGCCAAAGGGCGCUGCCGACUACACCGACUGGGGCCUGCUGCCAAGCGCCGAAGGGCCUUUCAACUCCUCCGGGGGAAAUGGCCGUUCUCUGGGAGAGGAAAGAAAUGGAAAUGCCAGGCUAGAGUACCCUGCCAGGGGGAAUGCAUCAGAGUGGGCCACUGUCCUGGAUCAUUUUCCCGAGGGGAGAUUAUCCCCGACCUUGGAGAACAUCCCGCUGCCUGGAAAGACACGUGAAAAGGAGGAAGCCUUUCAGCCUCCUGGGCAGACUGGCAACCGCUCUGGAGAAGAGGUUCUAAUGCCUUCCCAUAAUCCUCCUUCAGCCAACCUGGAGUUCAGUCCAACCAGCAUGGAGAAAAGCCCCAAUCUAACAGUAACCCAGCGGAGCUCAGAUCGUGACACUGAAGUAUUUCCCACUGACAUUGGCCCCUCUCAGUCCAUCCUAACUGAGCAACCCACACCUCCUCCCACUGCUCCAAAGACAGUCAAAGAACUCAUGGUAUUUGCUGGAGGCAAUUUACUGGUCACUUUACCCCAAGAUGACAUUGAACUGAAGGCCUUUGUUGUACCAGCAUCUCCUUCAGAAACAAGUUAUAACUAUGAGUGGAGUUUGAUAAGUCACCCUGAGGAUUAUCAAGGUGAAAUUGAACAAAAAUAUACGCAAACACUCAAUCUUUCUCAGUUGCCUGUAGGCUUCUAUUGCUUCAAAGUGACUGUUUCUGGCGAAAAUGCUUUUGGAGAAGGAUUUGUAAAUGUCACUGUUAAGCCAGCAAUGAGAAACAAUCAGCUUCCUGUAGCAAUCGCUUCUCCCCAAGUACAAGAGCUCUCCUCGUUCUCCACUUCAGCCGUCAUUGAUGGCAGUCAAAGUACAGAUGAUACUAAAAUCGUGAGCUACCACUGGGAAGAAAUUCAAGGACCCCAAAGAGAGCAGAAGGUAUCAGUUGAUUCUGCAGUCUUGCAGUUAUCUAAUCUUGUUCCUGGGAAUUAUACUUUCAGGUUAACAGUAAUAGAUUCAGAUGGAGCUGCAAACUCCACCAAUGCAAUACUAAUAGUCAACAAGCCUGUGGACUAUCCACCCUUUGCCAAUGCAGGACCAAAUCAGGUGAUAACUUUACCGAAGAACUUCAUCACCCUCAAUGGAAACCAGAGCAGCGAUGACCACCAAAUUAUCAGCUAUGAGUGGUCUUUGAGCCAACGUAGUAAAAGCAAAGAAGUAGUCAUGCAGGGAGAGAAGACGCCAUACCUUCAGUUGUCUGGUAUGAAAGAAGGAGAUUAUAUAUUUCAACUGACAAUCACAGAUUCAUUAAGACAGCAAUCCACUACUGAGGUCAACGUGAGGGUCCAGACUGAAAACAGUCCCCCUAUUGCUGUGAUUGGUCCAGACAAAGAGCUGAUAUUUCCUGUGGAAAGCAUGGUCCUCGAUGGAAGCAGAAGCACUGAUGAUCAGGGCAUCAUUUUUUAUCGCUGGGAAAAUAUCAGUGGCCCAAGUGCUGUGGUGAUUGAAAACAUUGAUCAACCUGUAGCCACAGUCACCGGACUGCAGGUCGGCACCUACCACUUCCGACUGACGGUGAAAGACAGCCAGGGCUUGAGCAGCAUGGCCACCCUCUCAGUGGCUGUCAGAGAGGAAAACAACAUUCCUCCCAGAGCUUGGGCUGGUGGCAGACAUAUUCUCGUACUUCCCAAUAACACCAUUACUUUGGAUGGUUCAAAGUCGACUGAUGACCGAGGAAUUGUGUCUUAUCUGUGGAUGCGGGACAGUCAGAGUCCAGCAGCUGGAGAUAUAAUCUAUGACUCUGACCAUAGUGCAUCUCUGCAGCUCAUCAAUCUGGUGGAAGGAAUCUAUAUUUUCCACUUGAAAGUCACAGACCUCCAAGGAGAUUCUGACAUUGAUACUGCUACAGUGGAAGUACGGCCUGACCCUAAAAAGGGAGGCUUGGUAGAGCUGAUUUUGCAAGUGGAAGUUGGGCAACUGACCGAGCAACAGAAGGGCAUGCUUCUGAGGCAGCUGUCAGCGCUACUGAAUGUGCCAGAGUCUGAUAUCAAGAUACAGAGGAUCCAGGCUCAUUCUGAUAUCAGCACCGUGAUCACAUUCUAUAUGCAGGGUGGCCAGCCUCCCCGAGUCAUCCAGGGUGCUAAGGUGGCCCACACUUUGCGUGCUCAGCUCUUAAAGGAAAAGGAAGACUUCUUACUUUUUAAGGUCCUGCGAAUAGACACAGAAGUUUGCCAUUUGGAAUGUUCUGGCCAUGGCCACUGUGAUCCCAUUACGAAGAGCUGCAUCUGCUACCAGUUGUGGAUGGAAAACUUGAUCCAGCGCUACCUCAGUGAUGGAGAAAGCAACUGCGAAUGGAGUAUUUUCUAUGUGACCCUGCUGGCUUUGACUCUGAUCAUAAUAAUGAUGGUUUUCAUUUGGCUUUGCAUCUGCUGCUGCAAGAGACAGAAAAGGACUAAAAUAAGAAAAAAAACAAAAUACACCAUCCUGGAUAAUAUUGAUGACCAAGAAAGAGUGGAGCUAAGACCUAAAUUUGGAAUUAAACAUCGAAGCGUAGACCAGAACUCCAGUCUGAUGGUAUCGGAGUCGGAAUUUGAAAGUGACCAAGAUACGAUCUUUAGCCGAGAGGUUGGAAUGGACAAUUCAAAGAACUCUAUGUUUGGAUCCAUCAAAAAUGGAAUUACUUUCAGUUAUUGCUCCAAGGACAGAUAGUUAAGUUGUUUUCAAGUGGGAGGAAAUACUGAGUUGCCACAGAAGGAAUGAGUUGAGACUUCUACCUUUUUUUUUCCCCAAAAUCAAAAUCUUCUUAUAGAAUAGGAAACAGAGAAAAGUUUGUCCAUCAUAAUUCAGAGGUGGUUAGAACAGAAAAAAAGAUACUAGCACAUUUACCUUCUCCUACAUUGUGCUAAGUAAUAGAGUCCCAUGUUUUAAAGACUUCUUGGCUGAAGACUGACACCAAAAAUCACUACUUAGCUUGAUUAUUAAUGGAAAGAGGUAUAACAUUAAGUUUUAAGUUAUAUACAAUUUGUGCUUUACAUUUAGUUUUCCAUCAUUAAAAGAAGCUCUGUAUAAAGCUGGUACAAUAGUGUUUUAAGGCUUUAUAUAAAACAGCCCAUAUUUAAAUAAAGCUUACUUACUAUGUGAUUACA
ensembl:lncRNA